GCUCAGACUAUCACCUUUGCUGUCUAUGCACCUAGCCUGUGUAACAUAUUGAUCUUCCGCCAGUCAACAACAGAGUGCCUUCCUGUCAGACACCAGCUAUCUAUCUCAAUGGAAAAUCACCUGUCUGAUGAAUUUUGUCUUCAGUGUAGUGGAGACAAACGAUGCUCUACAUGGAAAAGCUAAGAUGAAGCAAUCCUGCCACAGAAUCAAUGACGCCAACCAGAGCAAGGAUUCAGUCAGUACACAUUAACCAUUUCCGCAAUUGUGUGAAAUGAAAGUAUUUCCAAAUGAAAUUGGGAACAAGAACUUGAAGAUGAAGUAGGAAGCAUAGAAGAAUGAAGGUAGGAUUGUAAAGGAAAAAAAGAUUUC
rnacentral:lncRNA from 1 species